GGACUACACGGGUUUCUAAUCCUGUUUGCUCCCCUGGCCUUCGUGUCUCAGUGUCAGGAACUGUCCAGAGACCCGCCUUCGCCACUGGUCUUCCUCAUGAUCUCUACGCAUUUCACUGCUACACCAUGAAUUCCAGUCUCCUCUCCAGUCCUCAAGCACCGCAGUAUCGAAUGCAGUUUCGGAGUUAAGCUCCGAAAUUUCACACCCGACUUACGGCGCCACCUACACACCCUUUACGCCCAAUGAAUCCGAACAACGCUUGAGACCUCUGUAUUACCGCGGCUGCUGGCAC
rnacentral:misc_RNA from 1 species